rnacentral:lncRNA from 1 species
CCUCUUUAUCAGAAAUGGAAACAGAGAGAUUCUCCUGGAAACCCCUGCCCCAUAAACGGCCCUCUCGAACACAAUGGGACGGAAUCCACCCACAACGCGCUUGGUUUGCAGAUGUCAAAGAAUCUGCAGAGGGUGCUACUGAAGAUCCAGCCUUAGCCAAUCACCACCUCAUUGGGUGAAAGUUCCAGGGCUCAAUCCAGGACCACACUCUUAUUGGCCAGGCAGGGGCUCCCACAGAGCUUUGAGUAACUUCUUGGUUGUGCAGUCUGCAGGCAAUGUUGGCAUUGUAAAUUCCUCCCUUGCAGCCUCCUUCAUGUGGUGAGGGGAUCACUUCAGCUGCCUGCUGUGGACAAAGAACAUCAAAUUACAGCAUCACGAGUGCUAUUGUUGCCUGUGGUGGUCUCCCUGUCCAAGCGGGACCGCUUUGCAGAGACCAGAGGCAUAUCGCGGCUUGAGCUGAAAAUGCAUUUGUUGCAGCUUAGGUUGAAUUAUUUUUCGUUUGCUCUUUCUUCUACACGCGCCUGAUGGAUAGUGAACCUAUUCAUCAAAAAAGUGCACUGCUCUUCUGUCUAUUGUACCGACUUAACCUCUUCCACCCAAGUCCGCAUCUGUGUGUAUCAUCAAUAAAGUUGUGUGCUUUGAUUGGCAGAAAAGA